rnacentral:rRNA from 1 species
AGUGAACGCUGGCGGUAGACCUAACACAUGCAAGUCGAACGGCAGCACAGUAAGAGCUUGCUCUUACGGGUGGCGAGUGGCGGACGGGUGAGGAAUACAUCGGAAUCUACUUUUUCGUGGGGGAUAACGUAGGGAAACUUACGCUAAUACCGCAUACGACCUACGGGUGAAAGCAGGGGAUCUUCGGACCUUGCGCGAUUGAAUGAGCCGAUGUCGGAUUAGCUAGUUGGCGGGGUAAAGGCCCACCAAGGCGACGAUCCGUAGCUGGUCUGAGAGGAUGAUCAGCCACACUGGAACUGAGACACGGUCCAGACUCCUACGGGAGGCAGCAGUGGGGAAUAUUGGACAAUGGGCGCAAGCCUGAUCCAGCCAUACCGCGUGAGUGAAGAAGGCCUUCGGGUUGUAAAGCCCUUUUGUUGGGAAAGAAAAGCAGCAGGUUAAUACCCCGCUGUUCUGACGGUACCCAAAGAAUAAGCACCGGCUAACUUCGUG